UUCAUCUUCUCUGCAGCUGUGUCAGUGAGAGCCCUGGCAGGAUACAGAACUCACUCCAGAUGAGCCAAACAAAAAAGCAGAUCACCAGACCCUGCGAGGGAUGUCAAGUGGCCAGAGACCACGUCUGGGUCUAAUUGUGCUACUCCCUCUCUGAAUGUCCCUGACAAGUCAUGAACUUCCACUUGGAUCUCAGUUUGCCCAUCCAGAGUUGUAUCAAAUCCAUUUUUAUGUUGCUGCACGAACCAUUUCCAGAAUUGCCAUCUGAACACUUGUUGCAAGAUACCUCAUCAAAGAAUAUGACACACGUAUUUAAUCAGUUCAUUAUUGGAUUGGUUGUUU